UUUCUGAUGUUUUAAAUAUCAUGGGAAAUGUUAAUUGCGUUAAAAAUAGCAAAGUUGUUUGGAUUCAUUAUGUUCCUUUUGUUCUAUCGAUUCAGGUACUGAGGCUACCCCAAGGAAGAGAGCUGCCGUGGCCAACUAGAUCCGUUUUGCUAUGAAAGCAGCUAUGAAA
rnacentral:snoRNA from 1 species